GGCACCGUGGCCUAAUGGUAAGGCGUUGCUUUCCGGCAACGAGAUAUCCUUCUUGAUUGUAGAUUGGCAAAGAUUGUGGGUUCGAGUCCCAUCGGUGUCG